rnacentral:lncRNA from 1 species
GGAAUGUAAGAUGUUUUGAUUGGUGUGUUAUAGUGGAAGCCGGUUCUAUGUACUUUGGAUAUGGGUUGGGGGUGUUAUGUUACUUCUUAUGAUUUUUCUAUUAGAUAUGUCCAUGCAUGCAGGUGGUAUGUUGGCAGCAGUAGCUUGGUUGAGGACUUUUCCUUUUCUUUUUUCUUUCACUAUUUCGAUUGCUUCUGUCGUUGAUGCUUGGGAUUUCCUUGGGAGCGGCUUUGUGAUCUUGGCUUUGUCCCGUUGUAUCUUUGGAUCUUUCUCGUGGGCUUCGGCGGCUGGAGCUGUGUUGGUGGCGCCUCUUUCGAUGUCCUUUCUGUG